rnacentral:rRNA from 1 species
GUGGGGAAUAUUGGACAAUGGGCGAAAGCCUGAUCCAGCCAUGCCGCGUGUGUGAAGAAGGUCUUCGGAUUGUAAAGCACUUUAAGUUGGGAGGAAGGGCAGUAAGUUAAUACCUUGCUGUUUUGACGUUACCGACAGAAUAAGCACCGGCUAACUUCGUGCCAGCAGCCGCGGUAAUACGAAGGGUGCAAGCGUUAAUCGGAAUUACUGGGCGUAAAGCGCGCGUAGAUGGUUUUGUAAGUUGGAGGUGAAAUCCCCGGGCUCAACCUGGGAACUGCCUCCAAAACUGCAUGACUAGAGUACGGUAGAGGGUAGUGGAAUUUCCUGUGUAGCGGUGAAAUGCGUAGAUAUAGGAAGGAACACCAGUGGCGAAGGCGACUACCUGGACUGAUACUGACACUGAGGUGCGAAAGCGUGGGGAGCAAACAGGAUUAGAAACCCUGGUAGUCC